UACGGAGGGGGCUAGCGUUAUUCGGAAUUACUGGGCGUAAAGCGCACGUAGGCGGCUGCUCAAGUCAGAGGUGAAAGCCCGGAGCUCAACUUCGGAAUUGCCUUUGAAACUAGGUAGCUUGAACAUCGGAGAGGUAAGUGGAAUUCCGAGUGUAGAGGUGAAAUUCGUAGAUAUUCGCAAGAACACCAGUGGCGAAGGCGGCUCACUGGCCCGGUACUGACGCUGAGGUGCGAAAGCGUGGGGAGCAAACAGG
rnacentral:rRNA from 1 species